rnacentral:rRNA from 1 species
GACGAACGCUGGCGGCGUGCUUAACACAUGCAAGUCGAACGGGUCUGCCCUGUUUUUUGCGGGGUGGGUCAGUGGCGAACGGGUGAGUAACACGUGAGUAACCUGCCCCUCACUUCUGGAUAACCGCUUGAAAGGGUGGCUAAUACGGGGUGUUCUGGCUGUGCCGCAUGGUGUGGCUGGGAAAGAUUCACUUUUGUGGUGUUUUGGUGGGGGAUGGGCUCGCGGCCUAUCAGCUUGUUGGUGGGGUGAUGGCCUGCCAAGGCUUUGACGGGUAGCCGGCCUGAGAGGGUGGGCGGUCAGACUGGGACUGAGGUACGGCCCAGACUCCUGCGGGAGGCAGCAGUGGGGGGUAUUGCACAAUGGGCGGAAGCCUGAUGCAGCGACGUCGCGUGAGGGAUGGAGGCCUUCGGGUUGUGAACCUCUUUCGCCGGUGAAGAAGGUCCUGCUCUUUGUGGUGGGGUUGACGGUAGCCGGGUUAUGAAGCGCCGGCUAACUACGUG